rnacentral:rRNA from 1 species
AAUGAACUGAAACAUCUUAGUAAUUAAAGGUAAUAUAAACUAACAAGGAACUAUAAUAGUAAUGGUGAGUGAAAUUAUAGUAAAGCUUACAAGUAAUAUAUAAUAUAAAGUAUAUAUGAAUAUAGUGUAACUAACACUAAAGCUAUAAUAAUAUAAUAUAAGUUAAUAGUACUGAAAAGGAAGAUAUACAAUCAGUUAAUCUAUAAGCAGAUAUAAUAUAUUUAUUAUAUAAUAAAUAUAUAACUAUCGUACCUUUUGUAUAAUGGGUUAGCAAGUAUAUAAUAAUUGUAAGAUAUAAAUAAAUAUAUCAUAAAGUGAAAACGAUGGUAUAACAACUAAUAAAAUAUAUAUAUAAAUAUAUAUAUUAAAAUAAUUAUUAUAUGACCCGAAACCAUAUGAUCUUAUCAUGUGCAAGUAUAUAUUAAUAUCAAAUUUAAUAUAUGACUGAAUUGGUUGGUGUUGCAAUACCAUCAAAUGAUGUGUGAUAAGUAGUGAAAGACAAAUCUGAUAUGGAAAUAGCUGGUUUACUACGAAAUAUAUUUUAGUAUAGCUAUGUUAUAAUAUUAUUAUAAGGUAUAGUAAUUAAAUAAUACUAUAUAUUUAAAUAUUUUAAAUAUAUAUUAUAUAGGCAGAUAAAUUUAUCUUUACUAUUAUUAUUUAACCUCAGAAAUUAUAAUAAUUAAAAACAUAAGUCAGACUAUAUGUGAUAAGGUAUAUAGUCUAAUGAGAAACAGCUCAGUACAAAUUUAAAUACCAACCGAGUCCUUUAGGGCUAAGGAUGGCAAGCAUAAAGGUUCUUAAUAUAUAUGUAAUAGGAAAUAAUAUAAAAUUUUAUAAUACACAAUAUGUUAGUAGGUUUGAUAGUAACCAUCUUAUAAUGAUAGUGUAACAACUCACAUAUAGAUAUAUAUUUAUAAAAUUUAUAGUAAAUUUAUGGACCUAACAUAUAAACCGAUAAUUUGUAUAUAUUUAUAUAUUAUUUAUAUAAUAUAUAAAUUAUAUGGUAGUAGUACAACUAAUGAAAAUAUAUAUAUAUAAAUAUUAAUAUAUAUAUUAUAAUUAUAAAUUAAUUAUAAAGUAAUUAGUAUGAUAAUGCUAACAUGAGUAACGUAGAAAUAUAGUAUUAAUAUUAUAUAUAAUAUAUAUAUAUAAUAUAAAAUCUAUAUCAUCAUACACAUAAGGUAUAAGUAAUAAUACAGUUCUUAAGCUUAAAUCUGAAAGGAUAAAGUAAUAGAUAUAUUAAAUAUAUUAAAAGAUACUAUAAUAUAAAUUAUAUUAAAGUAAUAGUAGUAACAGGAAGAGUUAAUAUAUAAAAUACUGUACCAUAUUCCGACACAGGUGUGUGUAAAGAUGUAUUAGUUAAUUGUAGUUAAUGAACUCGGCAAAAAAUACUCUAUAACAUUUGAUAUAUAGAGUAAUAUCAUAUUUUAAUUAUAUAAAAUAUAAUAUAAAUAUUGAUAUAAUAAUAAAUAUAAAUAGUGCAACUGUUUACUAAAAACACAGCACGAUGCAGCUACUUAAAGUAUAAGUAUAUUGUGUGAGCUCUGUCCAAUGGUGAUAUGAUAAAAAUAUAAUAUAUUAUUGUAUUAUAUAUAAUAGUCACUCAAUGACAGUCUUAUCGUGAGGAUUAUAAUGUAGCGAAAUUCCUUGUCCACUAAAUAUGGUCCUGCAUGAAUGGUAUAAUGAUGCUAUAACUGUAUCGACUACAAGCUAAGUGAAGUUGAAUUGGUAGUGAAGAUGCUAUCUACCCAUAGUAAGACAGGAAGACCCUAUACAGCUUUACUAUAUAUAAUAGAUUGAUUAAUAUAUAAUAUUAUAUAGUUUAAGUUAUAACUUUAUAACUAUUUAAUCAUUAAUAUUAUCUUAACUAUAAUAAUUUAUAUCAUAUAUUAUUAUAAUAUAAAUAUUUAUUUAUAUUAUAACUAUAUAUAGUAUAUAUAUAUCAUAUAUAUAUAAUAUAUGAUAUAAUAUAUAUAAUAAAUAUAUAUAUAUAAUAUAUAUAUAUAUAUAAUAUAUAUAAUAAAUAUAGUGACAUUCAUUGUAUGAUAGUUUGAGUGGGGCGCUCUCUUCAUAAAGAGUAACUGAAGAGUCUAUAGUAUAUAAUAAAUUAUAUUAUUUAUAUAAUAAUAUAUAGUAUAACUAUAUAAAAAAUAAAAUAUAUAUAUUAAUAUAUAUUAAAUAAUAGAUUAAUUAUAUGUAAUUAAAUUAGUAUAGAAACUAAUAUGUAUGAUAAAUAGUACUAAUAAAUAUAAAUUUUAUUUAUAUUUAAAUAUUAAGUAUAAUAGCAUAAUUACAUAGAAAUUAUUAGAUGUACAUAUCAAAUAAGCACGUAAGUGUAGUAUAAAGAACAAAUUAAGCAAUUAGUAUAGCAUAUUGAUUACGAAUUAAAGUUACGUUAGGGAUAACAGGCUGAUAUUACGAGAGAGUACAUAUUGUAAGUAAUGUUUGGCACCUCGAUGUCGACUCAACUUAUCCUACUGGUUGUAGUAGCUAGUAAGGGUUAGACUGUUCGUCUAGUAAAAAGUUACGUGAGUUGGGUUAAGUACGUCGUGAGACAGUACGGUUCUUAUCUGCUAUGGGAUUUGUGUUAAGUCAGGUCGUAUAAUUAGUACGAAAGGAUUAUUAUAUGCAGUAUCCAUGGUUACUAUGUGAUAACUAUAUAAUAUAAAUUAUUACUAUAAUUAUAGUUACAUAUAUUAGCUAAAUAUGUUAAAUAUUUAAAUUUAUAUAUUAUAAAUUUAAAUGAUAAAUGCUGAUAGACUAUCAAGCAUGAAUCGUUCCUGAUUAAACACAUUAUUAGUGUUAAAGACUAUAACAUAAUAUAUAUAUUUAUAUAAAAUAUAUAUUAUAGUUACAUAUUUUAUGAUAUGGUACACUAAUUUUAUAUUUAUUGUAUAAUCUCUUAUUUAUAAUAUUUUUACAUAUUAUAAUAUUCAACACUUUAUUAUUUUU